rnacentral:lncRNA from 1 species
CAAUAUAGAUGGUGGGCAGGAAAUGAAAAAGAAACAAACAGGUAAGUUCAUUUCGUGUUACCAAGUGCACUAACUUAACACGUGGUAAGUGUAAAACACUUAGCAGCCAGCUUUCAACUCAGUGUGACCUAGUAGGAAGCCUACUGAGGAGUCCUGGCUCCUUCAAGGACUAGCUAGGAGACACUGGGCAAUCACUGCAUUUUCCUGAAACUCCAUUCAUUGAUCUGAAAAAUGGAGUAAAAGCACAUAGUUAUUGUAAAUACUAUAUGUUGUUUCACUUAAAGUGCAUACAGUAUGGCCUGGGAUUCAGGCAUUGCUCAAUGUUAAUUUCUUUCCUCUUCUAUCUCAUUUGUGUAUCUGAAUAACAGCCAACCAAAGACACCAGGUCCUGAUUUCUGGAACCUGGUAAAUGUGACUUUAAAUGGCAGGUUUUGCUGGUGUAUUGUGGAUCAUCUGGGUGAGUCCUAAAUGCCACAAGUGUCUUAUGAGAGAAGCAAAUGGAGAUUAGAUACAGUGAGGGUGUGAUGUGAAAACAAAAGCAGAGAUUGAGGAGUGAUGUGGCUACAAGCUAAGGAAUGUUGGCCCCCACUAGAAGCUAGAAGAGACAAGGCAGAGAUUCUGCCCUAGAGCCACCUCAGGGAGCGAAACUCUCCCAACACCAUGAUUACAGCCCAACAAAAUAGUUUCAGACUUCUGGCCUCCAGAACUGAGAAUAAACUUCUUUUGUUUUCUGCCACUACAUUUGUGGUGAUUUGUCACAGAGCCACAGGAAACUAAUACACUAACCACAGACUAAAUCAAAGAUGGCUACUCAGUUGGAGGGGGGCUUCCUGACAGUGGCUAUGGGGGUCAGGGACCAUGGAUGUUGAUUACUCAAUAAAGAAGUCCACUGGGACGCCUGGGUGGCUCAGUGGUUAAGCAUCUAUCUUUGGCUCAGGGCGUGAUCCUGGAGUCCCAGGAGUCUGGAAUGCUGCAGGCUAAUUGCUACAAUGGUUGGAAGCAAAACAACACAGGAAGCAGAUUACAAUAAUCAUCUAAGGAAAAGGGCCAGCCAGCUCUUUGGUUUCCUACUGAGAUCCCUCAGCACUCUCUCUUAUGAGAGACCGAAAGGGUUUCCUUGGCCCACUAACAAAUCACAGGGCAAGGUGGGCAUGCUAUUUUAGAGAAACUGGUCAAUGGCAUGCUGUAAAUGCCAAAAUAGCCUGGCAUUUACUAGUGUAAUCCCUAGAAUAGCAUCCAUCCCAAAUAAAAAGGAGUAAAAAGGGAUCCCUGGGUGGCGCAGCGGUUUGGCGCCUGCCUUUGGCCCAGGGCGCGAUCCUGGAGACCCGGGAUCGAAUCCCACGUCGGGCUCCCGGUGCAUGGAGCCCGCUUCUCCCUCUGCCUGUGUCUCUGCCUCUCUCUCUCUCUCUCUCUGUGACUAUCAUGAAUAAAUAAAUAAAAUCU